CCUACGGGUGGCAGCAGUGAGGAAUAUUGGUCAAUGGGCGCGAGCCUGAACCAGCCAAGUAGCGUGAAGGAUGACUGCCCUACGGGUUGUAAACUUCUUUUAUAAAGGAAUAAAUUGAGGCCCGUGUGCCUUUUUGUCUGUACUUUAUGAAUAAGGAUCGGCUAACUCCGUGCCACCAGCCGCGGUAAUCCGGAGGAUCCGAGCGUUAUCCGGAUUUAUUGGGUUUAAAGGUAGCGUAGAUGGGUUGUUAAGUCAGUUGUGAACGUUUGCGUCUCAACCGUACAAGUGCAAUUGAUACUGGCAGCCUUGAGUACAGUUGAGGUAGGCAGAAUUCGUGGUGUAGCGGUGAAAUGCUGAGAUAUCACGAAGAACUCCGAUUGCGAAGGCAGCCUACUAAACUGCCACUGACAUUGAUGCUCGAAAGUGUGGGUAUCAAACAGGAUUAGAUACCCGUGUAGUC
rnacentral:rRNA from 1 species